UACAGAGGUGGCAAGCGUUGUUCGGAAUUACUGGGCGUAAAGGGCGCGUAGGCGGUCUUGUCAGUCCCUUGUGAAAUCCCCCGGCUCAACUGGGGAACUGCACGGGAAACAGCAGGGCUUGAGUUCGGGAGAGGGAAGCGGAAUUCCCGGUGUAGAGGUGAAAUUCGUAGAUAUCGGGAGGAACACCAGUGGCGAAGGCGGCUUUCUGGACAUUUACUGACGCUGAGACGCGAAAGCGUGGGGAGCAAACAGG
rnacentral:rRNA from 1 species